UACAGAGGUCUCAAGCGUUGUUCGGAUUCAUUGGGCGUAAAGGGCGCGUAGGCGGCAAGGUAAGUCGGGUGUGAAAGCUUGGGGCUUAACCCCGAAAGGGCACUCGAAACUGCCCUGCUAGAGGGCCGGAGAGGAGAUCGGAAUUCACGGUGUAGCAGUGAAAUGCGUAGAGCUCGUGAGGAAGACCGGUGGCGAAGGCGGAUCUCUGGACGGCCCCUGACGCUGAGGCGGCGAAGGCUAGGGGAGCAAACGGGG
rnacentral:rRNA from 1 species